UGGACACGAAGAAAACAGACUGAUGGU
rnacentral:piRNA from 1 species